UACGAAGGGUGCAAGCGUUACUCGGAAUUACUGGGCGUAAAGCGUGCGUAGGUGGUGAGUUAAGUCUGUCGUGAAAUCCCCGGGCUCAACCUGGGAAUGGCAGUGGAUACUGGCAAGCUAGAGUGUGUCAGAGGGUGGUGGAAUUCCCGGUGUAGCGGUGAAAUGCGUAGAGAUCGGGAGGAACAUCAGUGGCGAAGGCGGCCACCUGGGACAACACUGACGCUGAGGCACGAAAGCGUGGGGAGCAAACAGG
rnacentral:rRNA from 1 species